UACGGAGGGUGCUAGCGUUGUUCGGAAUCACUGGGCGUAAAGGGCGUGUAGGCGGUCUGUUAAGUCUGAUGUGAAAUCCCCUCGCUCAACGAGGGAACUGCGUCGGAUACUGGCAGACUCGAGUACCGGAGAGGAAGGUGGAAUUCCCGGUGUAGCGGUGAAAUUCGUAGAUAUCAGGAGGAACACCCGUAGCGAAGGCGGCACUCUGGGCCGAUACUGACACUGAGGAGCGAAAGCGUGGGGAGCGAACAGG
rnacentral:rRNA from 1 species